ACAGAUGCUAUCCAAGACUAGAUUAAGUGUGUAGCACAUAUACCAGUUGAUGGAAAGUCAGGCCCUGCUAAGCACCAAUAUUGGUCAUUUGGUCUUGGCCUUAAUCUUUGGGGCAGCCUUGAUUUCUUAAAAGCAGUUUGCUUCAAGAGGGUCUGCUACUGUGCCUAUCUAUCACAUUCAAGGGGCAAAACACUUCCUUUUAUUACUGUUGAAGAAGGGUUGAUUUUCAAAUUUGAGCCUUCAAUGUUUGUAUGACUGAGCAUAGAAAAGUUACUAGUGGUAAAGUUGCAGCCAUGGAGAGGAACAUGAAUAAAUUUAUGUUUUCUGAUGUAUUUUAUUUGAAAUUGCAUAUGAUCUGUACAGUAAAUUUUAGAAAUACAUGGUUAUAGGUGUGCCAAAUUGUUAUAUUUUUUUUUUAUUUAUUCCCCAAAUUUGGCCACUGAUGUUGGUGGCAUUGAGAAAACACACUAUUACAAUAACAGUGGGAAAGAAAAAGGUAAUGUGCUGCAUUGGGUUUUGGUAUGCCACUGUUGUUUUAACAGUGUGGAUUGCCCCAAUAGCACCCACAAUAGAGGGGACUGAUUUCUCAUUA